rnacentral:tRNA from 1 species
CGGAAGAUCAUCGUCCCCGGUGGGGCGGCCGGACUUCAAAUCCGGUUGGGGCCGCCAGCGGUCCCGGGCAGGUUCGACUCCUGUGAUCUCCGCC